ACGGGUGCGUAACGCGUAUGCAACCUACCUUUAACAGGGCGGAUAACACUGAGAAAUUGGUACUAAUACCCCAUAAUAUCAUAGAAGGCAUCUUUUAUGGUUGAAAAUUCCGAUGGUUAGAGAUGGGCAUGCGUUGUAUUAGCUAGUUGGCGGGGUAACGGCUCACCAAGGCGACGAUACAUAGGGGGACUGAGAGGUUAACCCCCCACACUGGUACUGAGACACGGACCAGACUCCUACGGGAGGCAGCAGUGAGGAAUAUUGGUCAAUGGACGCUAGUCUGAACCAGCCAUGCCGCGUGCAGGAUGACGGCUCUAUGAGUUGUAAACUGCUUUUGUACGAGGGUAAACGCAGAUACGUGUAUCUGUCUGAAAGUAUCGUACGAAUAAGGAUCGGCUAACUCCGUGCCAGCAGCCGCGGUAAUACGGAGGAUUCAAGCGUUAUCCGGAUUUAUUGGGUUUAAAGGGUGCGUAGGCGGUUUGAUAAGUUAGAGGUGAAAUUUCGGGGCUCAACCCUGAACGUGCCUCUAAUACUGUUGAGCUAGAAAGUAGUUGCGGUAGGCGGAAUGUAUGGUGUAGCGGUGAAAUGCUUAGAGAUCAUACAGAACACCGAU
rnacentral:rRNA from 1 species